CCCACUGUAGCUCGGGUUGGUAGAGCACGGUGUUUACAACGCCAGGGUUGUGGGUUCGAUUCCCACCAGGGGAC
rnacentral:tRNA from 1 species